rnacentral:lncRNA from 1 species
ACACAUGACAUAAAAAAAUAUGACUGAAUACAUAGAUAAAAACCACCGAGCGCACGAGAUAAAAUAACCUCACAACCAAAAAACCAGAGAAUUUAAAAUGCCACCACUUUGUUACAAUCCACGCAUUCUGACCUGCAAUUAAGUGGGCCCAUCCAUAUACAUAAACGCCUCUUUGGCACAGUCAUGACAGCUUAACAUCAUUGUCGUGUAGUCUAAAUCUAAUUACAAAGGA